UGCACUGUAUGGUAUCUGCACCCAACAGCUUUCUUCUGUUGAGAUGUUCAAUAAGCAGUGCAAUAAUAAAUCAACAAUUGGCAUCGUUAGUUUUCAGACUUUUUUUGUCUGUUAACUUGGUUUUUCUGUUGAUACAGUC